CCUACGGGAGGCAGCAGUGAGGAAUAUUGGUCAAUGGACGAGAGUCUGAACCAGCCAAGUAGCGUGAAUGAUGACUGACCUAUGGGUUGUAAACUUCUUUUAUAAAGGAAUAAAACGAGGCACGUGUGCCUUUUUGCAUGUACUUUAUGAAUAAGGAUCGGCUAACUACGAGCCAGCAGGCGCGGUAAUACGGAGGUUCCGAGCGUUAUCCGGAUGUAGUGGGUUUAAAGGGAGCGUAGAUGGGUUGUUAAGUCAGUUGUGAAAGUUUGCGGCUCAACCGUAAAAGUGCAAUUGAUACUGGCAGUCUGGAGUACAGGUGAGGUAGGUGGAAUUCGUGGUGUAGCGGUGAAAUGCGUAGAUAUCAGGAAGAACCCCAAUGGCGAAGGCAGCUUACUAAACUGUAACUGACAUUGAGGCUCGAAAGUGUGGGGAGCAAACAGGAUUAGAUACCCCGGUAGUC
rnacentral:rRNA from 1 species